rnacentral:rRNA from 1 species
UACGUAGGUGACAAGCGUUGUCCGGAUUUACUGGGUGUAAAGGGCGCGCAGGCGGGCAGGCAAGUCAGUCGUGAAAUGCCGGGGCUCAACCCCGGAGCUGCGAUUGAAACUGCAGGUCUUGAGUAUCGGAGAGGAAAGCGGAAUUCCCAGUGUAGCGGUGAAAUGCGUAGAUAUUGGGAGGAACACCAGUGGCGAAGGCGGCUUUCUGGACGACAACUGACGCUGAGGCGCGAAAGUGUGGGGAGCAAACAGG